UACAGAGGGUGCAAGCGUUAAUCGGAUUUACUGGGCGUAAAGCGUGCGUAGGUGGUCGCGUAAGUCGGUUGUGAAAUCCCUGGGCUCAACCUGGGAAUUGCUUCCGAUACUGCGUGACUAGAGUUCGGUAGAGGGUGGCGGAACUCCCGGUGUAGCGGUGAAAUGCGUAGAUAUCGGGAAGAACACCGAUGGCGAAGGCAACCACCUGGGCCUGAACUGACACUGAGGCACGAAAGCGUGGGGAGCAAAC
rnacentral:rRNA from 1 species